rnacentral:rRNA from 1 species
GACUGGCGGCGUGCUAUACAUGCAAGUCGAACGCUUCUUUUUCCACCGGAGCUUGCUCCACCGGAAAAAGAGGAGUGGCGAACGGGUGAGUAACACGUGGGUAACCUGCCCAUCAGAAGGGGAUAACACUUGGAAACAGGUGCUAAUACCGUAUAACAAUCAAAACCGCAUGGUUUUGAUUUGAAAGGCGCUUUCGGGUGUCGCUGAUGGAUGGACCCGCGGUGCAUUAGCUAGUUGGUGAGGUAACGGCUCACCAAGGCCACGAUGCAUAGCCGACCUGAGAGGGUGAUCGGCCACAUUGGGACUGAGACACGGCCCAAACUCCUACGGGAGGCAGCAGUAGGGAAUCUUCGGCAAUGGACGAAAGUCUGACCGAGCAACGCCGCGUGAGUGAAGAAGGUUUUCGGAUCGUAAAACUCUGUUGUUAGAGAAGAACAAGGAUGAGAGUAACUGUUCAUCCCUUGACGGUAUCUAACCAGAAAGCCACGGCUAACUACGUGCCAGCAGCCGCGGUAAUACGUAGGUGGCAAGCGUUGUCCGGAUUUAUUGGGCGUAAAGCGAGCGCAGGCGGUUUCUUAAGUCUGAUGUGAAAGCCCCCGGCUCAACCGGGGAGGGUCAUUGGAAACUGGGAGACUUGAGUGCAGAAGAGGAGAGUGGAAUUCCAUGUGUAGCGGUGAAAUGCGUAGAUAUAUGGAGGAACACCAGUGGCGAAGGCGGCUCUCUGGUCUGUAACUGACGCUGAGGCUCGAAAGCGUGGGGAGCAAACAGGAUUAGAUACCCUGGUAGUCCACGCCGUAAACGAUGAGUGCUAAGUGUUGGAGGGUUUCCGCCCUUCAGUGCUGCAGCUAACGCAUUAAGCACUCCGCCUGGGGAGUACGACCGCAAGGUUGAAACUCAAAGGAAUUGACGGGGGCCCGCACAAGCGGUGGAGCAUGUGGUUUAAUUCGAAGCAACGCGAAGAACCUUACCAGGUCUUGACAUCCUUUGACCACUCUAGAGAUAGAGCUUCCCCUUCGGGGGCAAAGUGACAGGUGGUGCAUGGUUGUCGUCAGCUCGUGUCGUGAGAUGUUGGGUUAAGUCCCGCAACGAGCGCAACCCUUAUUGUUAGUUGCCAUCAUUCAGUUGGGCACUCUA